rnacentral:lncRNA from 1 species
CGGCCAGGCACAGAACGCAAGCAGCGGGGAGGGUGCGCGGUGUUGUGGGUCUCCUGUUCUGUGCGUGGGUGCCCACGGGGUGGAAGUGGGGAACAGGCGAACGCGUGUGCAAGUGCGGAAGUGCUUGCAAUGUGUCCCGAGUGACCUUAACGCGCUGCAAGAGAUAUCUUCGCAGCAUUUGCGACCUAGCGGCAGCUUCACGCGGCUGUGGCGCAGACCUCGGCGCGGGAAAUGCUAAAACUCCCGACUCGGC